UGGUAUUUUAACUAUACAAAGGUAUUGUAAUAAGAUUUUAAUUGAAUGCUAAAAGAAUGGAAGUUUAAGAAAAAACUUUUUUAAAAAUAAAAAUUAAAUUUUUUUUAAUUUGUGCAAAACCAAUUAUUUAUAUUAAAGACAAGAAGACCCUAUGAAUUUAUGAUUAAAUAAACUAAAAAUUUUUAGUUUAUUUAAUCUUGAUUGGGGCAAUCAAAAAAUAUUAAUAACUUUUUUAAAUUUAAAUGAUCUAUUAUUAAUAAUCUAAUGGAAUAAAUACUCUAGGGAUAACAGCGUAAUAAUUUUUGAUAGAUCUUAUAGACAAAAUAGUUUGCGACCUCGAUGUUGGAUU
rnacentral:rRNA from 1 species